rnacentral:rRNA from 1 species
UGGGGAAUAUUGGUCAAUGGAGGCAACUCUGAACCAGCCAAGUCGCGUGAAGGAUGAAGGUCUUAUGGAUUGUAAACUUCUUUUGCAAGGGAAUAAAGUGGGGGACGUGUCCUCCUUUGCAUGUACCUUGCGAAUAAGGAUCGGCUAACUCCGUGCCAGCAGCCGCGGUAAUACGGAGGAUCCGAGCGUUAUCCGGAUUUAUUGGGUUUAAAGGGUGCGCAGGCGGGAUGUUAAGUCGGCGGUGAAAUUUUGCAGCUCAACUGUAAAAGUGCCUUCGAUACUGGCUUUCUUGAGUGUGGAUGAAGUAGGCGGAAUUUGUGGUGUAGCGGUGAAAUGCUUAGAUAUCACGAGGAACUCCGAUUGCGCAGGCAGCUUACUAAACCACUACUGACGCUCAUGCACGAAGGCGUGGGGAUCAAACAGGAUUAGAUACCCUGGUAGUCCACGCAGUAAACGAUGAUUACUAGCUGUUUGCGAUAUACAGUAAGUGGCUAAGCGAAAGCGAUAAGUAAUCCACCUGGGGAGUACGCCGGCAACGGUG